UACGUAGGGUGCAAGCGUUGUCCGGAAUUAUUGGGCGUAAAGAGCUCGUAGGCGGUCUGUCGCGUCGAUCGUGAAAACUUGGGGCUUAACCCUGAGCUUGCGGUCGAUACGGGCAUGACCGGAGUUCGGCAGGGGAGACUGGAAUUCCUGGUGUAGCGGUGAAAUGCGCAGAUAUCAGGAGGAACACCGGUGGCGAAGGCGGGUCUCUGGGCCGAUACUGACGCUGAGGAGCGAAAGCGUGGGGAGCGAACAGG
rnacentral:rRNA from 1 species